rnacentral:rRNA from 1 species
AGAGUUUGAUCCUGGCUCAGGAUGAACGCUGGCGGCGUGCCUAACACAUGCAAGUCGAGCGAGAAGUUUAGAAAUGAAUCUUCGGAUGAUUUUUUAGAUGGAGAGCGGCGGACGGGUGAGUAACGCGUGGGUAACCUACCUCAUACAAAGGGAUAACGCAUUGAAAAGUGUGCUAAUACCUUAUAAGACCACAGUGCGGCAUCGUACAGUGGUAAAAACUCCGGUGGUAUGAGAUGGACCCGCGUCUGAUUAGCUAGUAGGUAGUGUAGAGGACUACCUAGGCGACGAUCAGUAGCCGGCCUGAGAGGGUGAACGGCCACAUUGGAACUGAGACACGGUCCAAACUCCUACGGGAGGCAGCAGUGGGAAUAUUGCACAAUGGGGGAAACCCUGAUGCAGCAACGCCGCGUGAAGGAAGAAGGUUUUCGGAUCGUAAACUUCUAUCAGCAAGGAAGAUAAUGACGGUACUUGACUAAGAAGCCCCGGCUAACUACGUGCCAGCAGCCGCGGUAAUACGUAGGGGGCAAGCGUUAUCCGGAAUUACUGGGUGUAAAGGCGCGUAGGCGGUUUGGCAAGUCGGUUGUGAGAGCCCUCGGCUCAACCGAGGAAUUGCAUCCGAUACUGCCAGACUAGAGUGCGGGAGGGGAGAGUGGAACUCCUGGUGGAGCGGUGAAAUGCGUAGAUAUCAGGAGGAACGCCGGUGGUGAAAGCGACUCUCUGGUCCGUUACUGACGCUGAGGCGCGAAAGCCAGGGGAGCGAACGGGAUUAGAUACCCCGGUAGUCCUGGCCCUAAACGAUGAGCACUAGGUAGUGGGGGGUCCGAUCUCUUCACUGCCGGAGCAAAUGUGUUAAGUGCUCCGCCUGGGGAGUACAGUCGCAAGGCCGAAACUCAAAGGAAUUGACGGGGGCUCACACAAGCGGUGGGGGAUGUUGCUUAAUUCGAAGCAACGCGAAGAACCUUACCUGGGCUUGACAUGUGGGUGGUACGGACCCGAAAGGGCGAGGACCUGGUUUACCAGGAGCCUACACAGGUGUUGCAUGGCUGUCGUCAGCUCGUGUCGUGAGAUGUUGGGUUAAGUCCCGUAACGAGCGAAACCCUUAUCGUUAGUUGCCAGCGGGUCAUGCCGGGGACUCUAGCGAGACUGCCGGUGUCAAACCGGAGGAAGGUGGGGACGACGUCAAGUCAUCAUGGCCCUUAUGCCCAGGGCUGCAAACGUCCUACAAUGGUCGGUUCAAAGGGAAGCAAGACCGCAAGGUGGAGCGAAUCCCAUAAAGCCGGCCCCAGUUCGGAUUGUGGGCUGCAAUUCGCCCGCAUGAAGCCGGAAUCGCUAGUAAUCGCGGAUCAGCACGCCGCGGUGAAUAUGUUCCUGAGCCUUGUACAUACCGCCCGUCAAGCCACGGGAAUCGGUAGCACCCGAAGUCGUUUGCCUGACCCUUCGGGGAGGGCGGCGCCGACGGUGAGAUCGAUGACUGGGACUAAGUCGAACAAGGUA